GACGAACGCUGGCGGCGUGCUUAACACAUGCAAGUCGAACGGAAAGGCCCCAGCUUGCUGGGGUCCUCGAGUGGCGCACGGGUGAGUAUAACGUGUGUGAUCUGCCCUGCACUCUGGGGUAAGCCUUGGAAACUCGGUCUCAUACCGGAUAGGACCGCGCUAUACACUGUGCGGUGGAAUGAACGUCGGUGCAGGAUGAGCCCGCGGCCUAGCAGCUUGUUGUUGGGGUGAUGGCCUACCAAGGCGGGGACGAGUAGCCGGCCUGAGAGGGUGUACGGCCACAUUGGGACUGAGGCGCGGCCCAGACUGCAACGGGAGGAAGCGGUGAGGAAUAGUGCAAGAUGGGCGGAAGCCGGAUGGAGCGACGCCGCGUGGGGGAUCACGGCCGUCGGGUUGGAAACCUCUUGCGGCAGGGACGAAGCUUUAGUGACGGUAACUGCACAAGAAGCAACGGCUAACUACGUG
rnacentral:rRNA from 1 species